CUCCCAUCUUCUCAAGCAUUAUUUUAUAAUGUUUGGAUUUGUUUGGAGAGGCCCCUCAUUUAUAGAGGUGCCCUUCAGAAAUGUAUAUGGCAGUAUAGUUUAUAUCUGAGCCAGGCGUAAUAAUGAAUAAAGUCGCUGAGCUUACUAUAAUUGUACUUGCCUGAACCCACCCAUUGUUAGUUU
rnacentral:misc_RNA from 1 species